GAUGAAGAACGUAGUGAAAUGCGAUAAGUAAUGUGAAUUGCAGAAUUCAGUGAAUCAUCGAAUCUUUGAACGCACAUUGCGCCCAUUAGUAUUCUAGUGGGCAUGCCUGUUCGAGCGUCAUUUCAACCCUUAAGCCUAGCUUAGUAUUGGGAAUCGACUUUACUGUCGUUCCUCAAAUUCAACGGCGGAUUUAUAGCAAUCUCUGAACGUAGUAAUUUUUUUUCUCGUUUUUGAAAUACUAUAAACCUCAACCGCUAAACCCCCAAUUUCUUAUGGUUGACCUCGGAUCAGGUAGGAAUACCCGCUGAACUUAAGCAUAUCAAUAAGCGGAGGA
rnacentral:misc_RNA from 1 species